CAGUGGGUACCGGGCAGACUAGAGUGCGGUAGGGGAGAUUGGAAUUCCCUGGUGUAGCGGUGGAAUGCGCAGAUAUCAGGAGGAACACCCGAUGGCGAAGGCAGAUCUCCUGGGCCGUAACUGACGCUGAGGAGCGAAAGGGUGGGGAGCAAACAGGCUUAGAUACCCUGGUAGUCCACCCCGUAAACGUUUGGGAACUAGUUGUGGGGUCCAUUCCACGGAUUCCGUGACGCAGCUAACGCAUUAAGUUCCCCGCCUGGGGAGUACGGCCGCAAGGCUAAAACUCAAAGGAAUUGACGGGGACCCGCACAAGCGGCGGAGCAUGCGGAUUAAUUCGAUGCAACGCGAAGAACCUUACCAAGGCUUGACAUAUACGAGAACGGGCCAGAAAUGGUCAACUCUUUGGACACUCGUAAACAGGUGGUGCAUGGUUGUCGUCAGCUCGUGUCGUGAGAUGUUGGGUUAAGUCCCGCAACGAGCGCAACCCUCGUUCUAUGUUGCCAGCACGUAAUGGUGGGAACUCAUGGGAUACUGCCGGGGUCAACUCGGAGGAAGGUGGGGAUGACGUCAAAUCAUCAUGCCCCUUAUGUCUUGGGCUUCACGCAUGCUACAAUGGCCGGUACAAUGGGCUGCAAUACCGUGAGGUGGAGCGAAUCCCAAAAAGCCGGUCCCAGUUCGGAUUGAGGUCUGCAACUCGACCUCAUGAAGUCGGAGUCGCUAGUAAUCGCAGAUCAGCAACGCUGCGGUGAAUACGUUCCCGGGUCUUGUACACACCGCCCGUCAAGUCAUGAAAGUCGG
rnacentral:rRNA from 1 species